GCAAGAUUAAAACUCAAAGGAAUAGACGGGGACCCGCACAAGCGGUGGAGCAUGUGGUUUAAUUCGACGAUACGCGAAGAACCUUACCUGGCCUUGACAUAGAAAGAAUCUUUUAGAGAUAGAAGAGUGCUAGUUUACUAGAACUUUCAUACAGGUGCUGCACGGCUGUCGUCAGCUCGUGUCGUGAGAUGUUGGGUUAAGUCCCGCAACGAGCGCAACCCUCGUGUUUAGUUACUAACAGCUCGGCUGAGGACUCUAGACAGACUGCCUGGGUAACCAGGAGGAAGGUGAGGACGACGUCAAGUCAUCAUGGCCCUUACGGCCAGGGCUACACACGUGCUACAAUGGGGUAUACAAAGAGCCGCGAUACCGUGAGGUGGAGCAAAUCUCAUAAAAUAUCUCCCAGUUCGGAUAGCAGUCUGCAACUCGACUGCUUGAAGUUGGAAUCGCUAGUAAUCGUAGAUCAGCAAUGCUACGGUGAAUACGUUCCCGGGUCUUGUACUCACCGCCCGUCACACCAUGGGAAUUGAAUUCAUUCGAAGCGGGGAUGCUAAAAUAGCUACCUUCCACAGUGGAUUUAGUAACUAGGGUGAAGUCGUAACAAGGUA
rnacentral:rRNA from 1 species